rnacentral:tmRNA from 1 species
CCCCUUUCAACCGGCAGGAACCAUUGCUAUAUUAGCCGUGUUCUUCGGAACUAUGGCAAUAAACGCGCGUGUAAUAAGCGGUUCGGACCCGGGGGCGGUACCCGGCGUCUCCACCAAAACCUCCGUCAUUAGCGGAGCCUGGGGACGAAAUAGGAUCGACGGACGUGUAAAGACGAGGCCUUUGCCCGCUUGAGCUGCGUUAGAAGCUCAAUCAACAAUAGUUGCUAAUGACAACUUUGCUGAAGGCGAACUGCUCGCAGCCUAGUCUGCGCUCGGUUUUCCGAACUUAACUCCUUAGGCUUCAGCGCUUAAGGCGGGGCCCGGAGGCGCCUGGCAACAGAAGCCUCCACU